ensembl:lincRNA
AUGGCACCCAUCCUGGGGAGGACAGUGAGGGUGGGUGGGGUCGUUACCCAUGAGGUGUGUUACGCUGGAGUCACUGGCUGCCUGAAGGAGCGCCGUGCGGUUCCACACAUACUGGGCUCCCUGGGAGAGCAGAACCAGGCCUCAGCCCAUAGCCUGACACCCCAGACCCAGCCCUGCUGUACCCCUGCACCCAUGAGCCCCCAUCACCUGGUGCUUGGCCUGCCACUCCUGCACCAGGUUCCGCUUGUCCUUCCGGACUCCACUCUCAUCUGGGUAUUCAGGGUCUGGAGUCCCCUCAGGAAACAUGUACUUUCGGCCUCCACCCAGGAUCACCUGGAGCCAGAGAUUAGGGCAGGUGGGUUUGGGUCCUGGCUGGCCCUUUACUCACCCCCCUUCACACAGUCCCUGCCUCCUCAAUCAGGUCUGUGGGAUGGUUUGUCCCCACCAGUUGAGACCCCAGGACUGUGGGUUGCCUGGAACUGUAUUGAGAGUGUAUCCCACCCCCUCUGCCCAGCCUCGCCCUGUGCCCAUCAUGUCGCACAUCAAUGUCCAUGUUGUAGACCAGCUGAGUGGCGAUGUCCUGGCAGCCAUACGUCUGGGCAUCGGCAGGCAGGUCGGCAUCCGAAUACCAGUUUCGGUUCACCGUGUGCGCGUAGGCCCCGGCUGGGGAGGCGUGCUGCACCCUGGUGGUGGUCACCACUCCCACUGACUUGCCUGAGGGUGGCAGAGGCCACGGUGGGCCACCGAGGUCUCUGAGCCUGUCCCUGCCAGGAAGCUGACACCCAAGCCCACCUGCUUUCUUGGCCCGGUUCAUCACAGAUGUGACCUCAUUCCCACGUGUCGUGUUGCACUGGUCGAAGCGGGCGGCUGCACUUACACCAAUGGUCCUCAUGUUGGUCUUGACCCCACACAGGUAGGCGGUGGACGUGCCUGCGCUAUCGGGCACAUCUCUGUCCACGUUGUAUGUCUGGGGGCAGAGAUGCCUUCAGCUCUGCUGGGGUAGACAUCCAGCUCCUGACCCAGGCCCUGGGCCCAUCCUCACAGCCCCCAGCCCCUAUCUCAGCCCCCAACCCUCCUGGAGCUUUCCCUCCUACUCUGCUUCCUAGGCCCACACCCACCCCUCUGGUGUAGACCACCCUGAGGCCACUCGGCCCUUACCUUGGACAGAGCCAGGUAUGGGAACUGGUCCAUGGCCAGGGGUGUCUCAGGUCCCGGCUUGCCAGCCAUCUGCCCCUUUAGGAUCCGAGCGGCUGUCACCGUGGAAACCCCCAUCCCUGAAGGUACACACUGUGUCAGGUCUGAGUCCCUGGGGCCAGCCUGGGUCAGCUGGCAGCCCAGGGCUCCAGGGUUGUGAGAGGACAGGGGGUGGACCAGCCUAGUGCACUCACCAUCGCNNNNNNNNNNNNNNNNNNNNNNNNNNNNNNNNNNNNNNNNNNNNNNNNNNNNNNNNNNNNNNNNNNNNNNNNNNNNNNNNNNNNNNNNNNNNNNNNNUGCUCGGCAGCUCUGUGGCAACAUCAGGGGCCUGGGCUGCCUGGCGGUUCCAGAAGGUGGGGUCUUCCUCCUCGACUGCCCAAGGGGAGAGUGGAGGUCAGGUCAGCCUGGGGCCGCCCCUGUGAGUAGGGGUCUCCGGGAGCUGCCUGGUUACCUGGGACGAGGCCGAGGGAGAGCUGUAGCCGCAGGCCCAGCAGCAGCAGCACGCAGGCCCCCUGCAUGGCUGUGUGAUGGUGGAGAGUCACGAUGGGACCUGGGGAGGCCGGAUCUCGGGCAAGGCUGGGGCACCAGGGACUGGCUGCAGCACUGGCUGCCGAGCUUAAAUUCCUGCUAUAAAGUCUCUAUGUCCCUCCGAGUGCCUGAGGGGGCCACACCCUGCCCCUCACCUGCCCUGUGACUUUAGGCCCUGUCAACAUCAGAAUUGGUAGAUGUGGCCAAGCAUCUGAGUCAGGUCCCUCCCUCACAGGAUGGUCCCCGGCCAUCUGCUCAGAGUGGGGUGGGAUUAGGGUGCAGAUGUCUUUCGCCUGAGGAAUAUUUGCAUGGUCCUGACGGGGCUACUUCUAAUCCUCGCCCACCAAGUGCUGUGAGAAAAUCAUCUCUGCUUUAUUCACCUUAUGUGUUCAGUUUUGGUUCUGAGUGCUCAGGGAGGUGGGGUUGGAAGCAUACAGACUAGGCCAGGGCCUGGGUUUGGUUUCCUGAUGCCCUGAGGGACAGAGACAGAGAGGGUGGCCUGGGACCACGCAGCUCCGGCUUGGCCUGGGCAGGUGGGGUGGGCACUGGGCUAGCAGGGGCACCUGGGAGCCUGGGCCCAACUUCUUCUGUGGAGAAUUGAGAUGACAGCAGAGUGAGGGCCUUGUCUGUGUCUUCGGUUACUGAGGGCUGGGCUCGGUCGGCACUCUGUGUGUAUGUGUGUUUCCUGUGAAAGGCCAGGAAUGCGGGCCCAGUGCCUUGUACAUGACGUAGACCUCUGCUCCCCUAGACAGGUAGAUGGAAGGCAGAGGUGAAUCUGUUCUCUCCUCAGGCCACCCGCACUCACAGGAAUAGCUUGUGAUAGGAGUUAAGAGGUUUCAGCAACCCUAGGUUGGGUUAAAAAGAUAUUUCUCCAAUCCAGCAAUCUCACUUCUGGGCGUGUAUCCCCAAAACUUUGAAGGCAGAAAGAAUUCUCUGGUGGUCCAGUGGUUAGGACUCCAUGCAGGGGGCUCAGCUUCGAUACCUUGUCAGGAAACUUAGAUCCUGCAAGCUGUGUGGCUCAGCCAAAAUAGCGUCAGAGAGUGGAAAGCAGGGUCUAGAAGUUUUUGCACACCAACAUUUGUAGUAGCAUUAUUCACAAUAGUCAAGACUUGCAAGUAAUUCAACAGUCCACUGGCAGAUAGAUGGAUAAACAAAGCAUGAUAGAGCUAUACAGUGGAAUACUAUGCUGCCUUAAAGAGGAAGGAAAGUCUGACACCCGCUACAACAUGAAUAAACUGAGAGGGUAAAGGACAAGAAGGCUCAGUUCAGUUCAGUUCAGUUCAGUUGCUCAGUCGUGUCCAACUCUUUGCGGCCCCAUGAAUCGCAGCACGCCAGGCCUCCCUGUCCAUCACCAACUCCCCGAGUUCACUCAGACUGACGUCCAUCGAGGCAGUGAUGCCAUCCAGCCAUCUCAUCCUCUGUCGUCCCCUUCUCCUCCUGCCCCCAAUCCCUCCCAGCAUCAGAGUCUU